GACGAACGCUGGCGGCGUGCUUAACACAUGCAAGUCGAACGGAAAGGCCCUGCUUUUGUGGGGUGCUCGAGUGGCGAACGGGUGAGUAACACGUGAGUAACCUGCCCUUGACUUUGGGAUAACUUCAGGAAACUGGGGCUAAUACCGGAUAGGAGCUCCUGCUGCAUGGUGGGGGUUGGAAAGUUUCGGCGGUUGGGGAUGGACUCGCGGCUUAUCAGCUUGUUGGUGGGGUAGUGGCUUUCCAAGGCUUUGACGGGUAGCCGGCCUGAGAGGGUGACCGGCCACAUUGGGACUGAGAUACGGCCCAGACUCCUACGGGAGGCAGCAGGGGGGAAUAUUGCACAAGGGGCGGAGGCCUGAUGCAGCAACGCCGCGUGCGGGAUGACGGCCUUCGGGUUGUAAACCGCUUUCGCCUGUGACGAAGCGUGAGUUACGGGAAUGGGUAAAGAAGCACCGGCUAACCACGUGC
rnacentral:rRNA from 1 species